rfam:Glycine max cultivar Williams 82 chromosome 8, whole genome shotgun sequence.
AAGUGUCACGUUAUCAUGUCUUGUCACGGAUAUCUCAUUGUUAUGUCAUCACCUUCAAUGAUGUGACAAUAACGUGUUAGUGACAAUACAUGAUAACGUGACAUUCUGU